CCUCGCAGUUAUAAGCUCCAGCAAGACCACCCCGAAGCUGUAUACAUCACUUCUAUCCGUCAGCUGCUGUGUCAUGUAGUAUUCAGGGUCCAGCAUCUCCCAAAAGUUUCGAAAGGCCAAAAUCUGCAACUUUAGCAUUCAAAUUGUCAUCAAGUAAAAUGUUAUUGGACUUAACAUCUCUGUGUAUGAUGGGAGGAUCAGCGAGCUCAUGCAAAUAUGCCAAGCCUCUGGCUGCAUCAAGGGCUAUUUUCAGUCUCCUCAUCCAAUUCAAUUGGAUACCGGACUUUCCUGUAUGCACAUCACGCACUUAUUAGUAAAAGCACCACUUAUCACUUCUGUUUCUCUCGAAAUCACAGACAAAUGAAUGGUUCAAGUACGUUUAAGUAUCAGAAAAUUGAUUUACCUGAAAGGCUUUCCCUUAAAGUACCAUUAGGAAUGUACUCAUAAACCAGCAUUUGUUCACCUUGCUCAUAACAGAAUCCCACAAGGUUGACUACAUUCUUAUGGUGAAUUCUGGACAAAAGCUCGAUUUCUGUUUUGAACUCUAAUGCUCCCUGCAUUGACCCCUGCUGAGCCCGUUUGAUGGCAACUAACUCCCUUGUAGCAAGAAGUCCUUUGUAAACCUGCUAAUGCUAUGCAUAUGAGUCCAAACAUUUUUUUUUC